UGAGGGUAUGUAUCCCCCUCUCCCUCCAGUGCGGAAAAGAAAUGGGUCGGCUCCCUAUAAGAAGUGAAAAAUUGUGAAAUAUAGGAGUGCCAGUUAAGUUGGGUUUUUGUAUGCUUUUCCACUAAGCACCAAACAGUAACUAACUGCGUGAUUAUGGGGCCAAACCAUAACUUACAGUGUCUGAGAGCAAUAUUUGAGUAGAUUAAAUCUUGGUGUCUGUAUGGGUACACCAAACUUUCUUCCAGGGAGCGCCAAAAGACAGGAGCAACUAAUCCACUUAUUUAUAUUUUUCCCUUUUAAUGGCUUUCUUCUCCUGGAAAUAACUAAUCUCCUUGGACCUACAAAAUAGCUCUGGUAAGAUGUCAGUUUCCUGAAAGAUCCCCACCUGAUGUCAGGUACUAUUAGAGAGAAGCUCAGCAAUGCCAGCAAGGUUCUGAAGAGGAAGCUGCAACAAAGUUCCAACCUCGCCCCAUAGAAGAAGCAUGGAAAACUGCCUUUGCUACCUGCCAGAGGAUCCAAGCCAUUAUGCUGAUGGUUGGCCAUACAAGUACCUCAUCUCGUUGCCCAGUACCAACACGAAGUGAAAAGAAGGUGUGGGCUAUAGUGGCGGAUGACUUCAGAGGAGCCGAAUGCUGUGUUCUAGUGGAACCCGAAGUAUCAAUAUCAGUAUCAGUAGCUUGCCAUGCUGCCACCACCUGGUUGCCCAGGACACUGAUAACUGGAAGGGAAGAAGGAAAGAAAGAUGACCACAGUGACCAAGGAGUAACAACACCAGAGACAAGGUUACCUCAAAAUGAACUUUAUCAUAACUAAUUAAACAGCAAUCAAACAGAGCUUCUUCUGAAAUGAAGCCUCCUCACUUCUGGCUCUUUCCUUCAGCUGCCGCUGCUGUCCUCCUGAACUGUAAUAUUUAUUCCCGCUGCAGUACUUCAGUUUGCUCACUCCCAAUUUUACAGAAACACUCCUGUAUUCAGUAUCAGUAUGUUUACAUUCCCUCAUACCUUCCACUCCCACUUUUAUGUGUGCAUGCAAUUAAAGUUAAAAAAAAUCCUUUAUUUAAAAGCAUGUCCACACAUGGGGGAGGGGCUUCAUAGAUAGAACAGGGACCCUCAUGCUGUACCUGGACUGCAUUUUAUUUACAAAUCACAACUUCAACCGACUAAUGUAAAGUGAUUGCAGUUCUAGACAUCGCUAGUAAAAAGCCUCUGUUCUUUUUUCAGUGAACCUGGUACUGCAACUAAGACUCCAUUCACACUUGUGAUUUAAGUAGGCCUUAAAUCAUAUGUGAACGCUUCAAAAAAGAAAAGGCAGCCCAGGGCUGGCCUAGAUUUAGGCCAUCGUUUCGUUGUGGUCCAAGGCCUUCAAACCGGGACCAGGGCCAGCCUCUACAUGUAAAUGAAUGCAAAGCAGACAUAGGGCUGCCUUUUCUAUCACAUUACCAAUUUGAUUAUGUAGCACAGUAGCAGGGAUCAUAGGAAUCCGGAAUUCAGUUUACUUCAGUCAGUGUCCAGAGCUGUUAAAAGAUGCCAAAAACUCUAAGU